UGAGUACGAGAUGCUACGGCAUCGAAGCAGUCUAUGUCAUACUUCCAAGAAAAGCUUGCACUGUCAUAAACAAAGAAUGCCUGUACCAUAACCGACACAGGUGGGUAGGUAGAGUAUACUAAGGGGCGCGAGAUAACUCUCUCUAAGGAACUCGGCAAAAUGACUCCGUAACUUCGGGAGAAGGAGUGCCUUAUUUCUAAGGUUGCAAUAACAAGAUCCAAGCAACUGUUUACCAAAAACACAGGUCUCCGCUAAGUCGUAAGACGAUGUAUGGGGGCUGACGCCUGCCCAGUGCCAGAAGGUUAAAGAAGUUGGUUAGCAUUAGCGAAGCUGAUAACUGAAGCCCUGGUGAACGGCGGCCGUAACAAUAACGGUCCUAAGGUAGCGAAAUUCCUUGUCGGGUAAGUUCCGACCCGCACGAAAGGCGUAAUGAUUUGGAUACUGUCUCGGAGAGGGGCUCGGUGAAAUAGACUUGUCUGUGAAGAUGCGGACUACCUGCACCUGGACAGAAAGACCCUAUGAAGCUUUACUGUAACUUGAGAUUGAAAUUGGACUUUAUUUGCGCAGUAUAGGUGGGAGGCGUUGUGAAUAAUCUUGCGGGAUUGUUGGAGCCAUCAGUGAGAUACCACUCUUGUAAUGUUAGAUUUCUAACUUUGUAUCAUUAUCUGGUCAAAGAACAGUUUCAGGCGGGCAGUUUGACUGGGGCGGUCGCCUCCCAAAGGGUAACGGAGGCGCACAAAGGUUUCCUCUGAACGGGUAGAAAUCGUAUCUAGAGUGUAAAGGCAUAAGGAAGCUUGACUGUGAGACCUACAAGUCGAGCAGGGACGAAAGUCGGUCUUAGUGAUCUGACGGUGCUGAGUGGAAAGGCCGUCACUCAACGGAUAAAAGUUACUCUAGGAUAACAGGCUGAUCUCCCCCAAGAGUUCACAUCGACGGGGAGGUUUGGCACCUCGAUGUCGGCUCAUCGCAUCCUGGGGCGGUAGUCCGUCCCAAGGGUUGGGCUGUUCGCCCAUGAAAGCGGUACGCGAGCUGGGUUCAGAACGUCGUGAGACAGUUCGGUCCAUAUCCGGUGUAGGCGUUAGAAUAUUGAGAGGAGCCUUCUCUAGUACGAGAGGACCGAGAAGGACAUACCUCUGGUGUACCAGUUAUCGUGCCAACGGUAAACGCUGGGUAGCUAUGUAUGGAGUGGAUAACCGCUGAAAGCAUCUAAGUGGGAAGCCCACCUCAAGAUAAGUAUUCUCAUC
rnacentral:rRNA from 1 species